GGGAGGAUGGAGAGUGAUUUGGGGUUUUGGGUCGGGCUCUAGUGUGAUCAACUGCAGAAGCAUUACACCGUGGCCUGGUUUCUUUACUCAGCCCCUGGGGUAGAUCCCAGCCCCCCGCAUAGGUCCUUUUGCUGGAAAAGGAAGAUGGAGUGGUGGGACAAAUCUGAGGAGUCGUUGGAGGAGGAGCCACGGAAGGUGCUCGCCCCUGAGCCUGAGGAGAUCUGGGUGGCGGAGAUGCUGUGUGGCCUCAAGAUGAAGCUGAAGCGACGGCGAGUGUCGCUCGUGCUCCCUGAGCACCACGAGGCCUUCAACAGGCUGCUUGAGGAUCCUGUCAUUAAAAGAUUCCUGGCCUGGGACAAAGGUCUGAGGGUGUCGGACAAGUAUCUCCUGGCUAUGGUCAUAGUGUAUUUCAGCCGGGCCGGCCUCCCCUCCUGGCAAUACCAAUGCAUUCAUUUCUUCCUGGCUCUCUACCUGGCCAAUGACAUGGAGGAGGACGACGAGGACCCCAAACAAAACAUCUUCUACUUCCUGUAUGGGAAGACCCGCUCUCGCAUACCCUUGCUCCGUAAGCGUCGGUUCCAGUUAUGCCGUUGCAUGAACCCGAGGGCCAGGAAGAACCGCUCUCAGAUAGUCCUGUUCCAGAAACUUCGGUUCCAGUUCUUCUGUUCCAUGAGCUGCAGGGCUUGGGUUUCCCCGGAGGAGUUGGAGGAGAUCCAGGCUUAUGACCCAGAGCACUGGGUGUGGGCGCGAGAUCGCGCUCGCCUUUCCUAGAGCUCCAGGGACCGUGGAGGCCUGAGGUCAUCGGCCUGAGAGAAGAACACCGGACCCAGGGGAGAUGUGGAUUUUCAGCAGGAACUUUAUUCCAAUGCUAAUGGCAGACACCAGGAAGAAGGAGAGGAACCAUUUGUGCAGAUCAUCUAGAAGAACCUGGACCAUUCUUGAUGGAGCUGAAUACAGUGAUCAUGUUGUCCUACCUAGGAGCAGGGGGAGGGGGGUGGGGUCCUUCUAGGAGUCCUUGGAGAAAAGUAAGAAACCAGGAGUGUUUCCAGUUCCACCCUUUCCUG
rnacentral:lncRNA from 1 species